GUUGAGAUAUGGCGAGGUUCCGAUCCUUAUAAAGCUUUGGCUUUGUUCUAGGAUUCGUCAUAGUAUUUCAUUUAGUUUCGUUUUUGCUUUCUAAAGGAACAUUACUUCGAGAAGAUCCAACUCUCGCGAUUCCGAUAAGGUACGAACUCGAACUGGUAGUGCCAAUGCGGAACGUAUUCAAUCCGAAGAUGUGAGUGAUG
rnacentral:lncRNA from 1 species